rnacentral:rRNA from 1 species
UACGUAGGGGGCAAGCGUUGUCCGGAUUUAUUGGGCGUAAAGAGCGUGUAGGCGGCCAAGCAGGUCCGCUGUGAAAACUCGAGGCUCAACCUCGAGACGUCGGUUGAAACCGCUUGGCUAGAGUCCGGAAGAGGAGAGUGGAAUUCCCGGUGUAGUGGUGGAAUGCGCAGAUAUCGGGAGGAACACCAGUGGCGAAGGCGGUUGCCUGGGGCUUUGCUGACGCUGAUGCGCGAAAGCGUGGGGAGCGAUCCGG